rnacentral:rRNA from 1 species
AUUGAACGCUGGCGGCAGGCCUAACACAUGCAAGUCGAGCGGAUGAAGGGAGCUUGCUCCUGGAUUCAGCGGCGGACGGGUGAGUAAUGCCUAGGAAUCUGCCUGGUAGUGGGGGAUAACGUCCGGAAACGGGCGCUAAUACCGCAUACGUCCUGAGGGAGAAAGUGGGGGAUCUUCGGACCUCACGCUAUCAGAUGAGCCUAGGUCGGAUUAGCUAGUUGGUGGGGUAAAGGCCUACCAAGGCGACGAUCCGUAACUGGUCUGAGAGGAUGAUCAGUCACACUGGAACUGAGACACGGUCCAGACUCCUACGGGAGGCAGCAGUGGGGAAUAUUGGACAGUGGGCGAAAGCCUGAUCCAGCCAGGCCGCGUGUGUGAAGAAGGUCUUCGGAUUGUAAAGCACUUUAAGUUGGGAGGAAGGGCAGUAAGUUAAUACCUUGCUGUUUUGACGGUACCAACAGAAUAAGCACCGGCUAACUUCGUG